CCUACGGGUGGCAGCAGUGAGGAAUAUUGGUCAAUGGACGAGAGUCUGAACCAGCCAAGUAGCGUGAAGGAUGACUGCCCUAUGGGUUGUAAACUUCUUUUAUAUGGGAAUAAAAUGUUCCACGUGUGGGAUUUUGUAUGUCCCAUAUGAAUAAGGAUCGGCUAACUCCGUGCCAGCAGCCGCGGUAAUACGUAGGAUCCGAGCGUUAUCCGGAUUUAUUGGGUGUAAAGGGAGCGUAGGUGGAUUGUUAAGUCAGUUGUGAAAGUUUGCGGCUCAACCGUGAAAUUGCAGUUGAAACUGGCAGUCUUGAGUACAGUAGAGGUGGGCGGAAUUCGUGGUGUAGCGGUGAAAUGCUUAGAUAUCACGAAGAACUCCGAUUGCGAAGGCAGUUCACUGGACUGCAACUGACACUGAGGCUCGAAAGUGUGGGUAUCAAACAGGAUUAGAUACCCCUGUAGUC
rnacentral:rRNA from 1 species